rnacentral:rRNA from 1 species
CCUACGGGUGGCAGCAGUGAGGAAUAUUGGUCAAUGGACGAAAGUCUGAACCAGCCAAGUCGCGUGAGGGAUGACUGCCCUAUGGGUUGUAAACUUCUUUUAUAUGGGAAUAAAAUGUUCCACGUGUGGGGUUUUGUAUGUACCAUAUGAAUAAGGAUCGGCUAACUCCGUACCAGCAGCCGCGGUAAUACGGAGGAUCCGAGCGUUAUCCGGAUUUAUUGGGUUUAAAGGGAGCGUAGGUGGAGUGUUAAGUCAGUUGUGAAAGUGUGCGGCUCAACCGUAAAAUUGCAGUUGAAACUGGCAGUCUUGAGUACAGUAGAGGUGGGCGGAAUGCGGGGUGUAGCGGUGAAAUGCUUAGAUAUCACGCAGAACCCCGAUUGCGAAGGCAGCUCACUGGACCGCAACUGACACUGAGGCACGAAAGUGUGGGUAUCAAACAGGAUUAGAUACCCUUGUAGUC